UACGGAGGAUGCAAGCGUUAUCCGGAAUGAUUGGGCGUAAAGCGUCCGCAGGUGGCUAUGUAAGUCUGCUGUUAAAGAGUGAGGCUCAACCUCAUAAGAGCAGUGGAAACUACAUAGCUAGAGUGCGUUCGGGGCAGAGGGAAUUCCUGGUGUAGCGGUGAAAUGCGUAGAUAUCACUAGGAACGCCGGUGGCGAAAGCGGCGUGCUGGACCCCAACUGACGCUGAGGCGCGAAAGCCAGGGGAGCAAACGGG
rnacentral:rRNA from 1 species